CACGGAGGUCCUAAUUGAAUAAAUUUAGAACGGGUUAGUUCUUUCUUUGACGAUUCAGUCCAAAUCGAAUUUCUUCGCCGACAAAAAUAGCCUUCCAGUGAAAUCCCGAGUAAUCAUUCACUUACCUAAUCUUCUCAAACGACAAACAGUUGAUGAAAGAAGAACACCGAAGGCAUCAUCAUUUACUCUUUUCAUCUUGGAUGGAGAUUUUUUCGAUUAUCUUCCUCAUCUCUAUCUCUCAAAUCGGAAGCUGUCGAAAAGGAGGAAACUCUAGGGGUGAUGAAACCAGACGGAAUUUCAGCAUGGUGGCAGCUUUUGGGUGGUCCUGAUAUGGCAACCAACGCAGUCACAUCGGGGGUAUUCUUUGCGCUUGUCCAAGGGUGAGGAACUGAAGAAACAGAUUGGUGUAUUAGCAUAUGUAGAAUGCAGUUCUAAGAACCAACAGAAACCCUAUAAAUAUACUACAUUUUCUCUAUCAUUUGUCGUGGCCUGAAAAAUUCAAGUAAUUUCUGUAUGAGAAGUAGCAUGUUUAUGGGUAAAGUAGCCUGGUGUACAAACUGGUGCACCAACCUAUUUCCUAUGAGAAGUAGCGUGUUUUGGGUACGAAUAUUUGAUUCAUGAAUAUUUGUAGGUGUGUACAUGCUUGUGCACCAAUGUAUUUUCCAUGAAAAAACUAGGUCCGAAUGAACGAUUUCA